AGAAAUAAAAUAAAAAUCUAAAAAAGCAUUCUCUCUAAAACAUAACUCUCCGCCUCUCAAAAUCCUUAAACCUAAUUUUGGCAGCGGAGCUACCGUCUAUUCUCUUUAUCUAAAAUCGUUGUCCCUUUCUCGUUUUCUCAAGUCUUAAUCUUCAUCUCCGUUAUUUGCCAAAACCAGUUUUCGACAAAUCAACUCUCGAUACUUGUUCUAUUCACCGUUGUUGGACCUAGGCGUGUACACUUGACCCUGUGCCUAGAACUCGCCGGAAUCCUUCUUGCCUACUCUGUCGCCAUUGUCAGGAAGCAUGUAGAUUCAUAUAUUCAAAGAGAGCUUCAGGAUUUGGAGACUUCCGUUUACAAGUCAUGAUGCAAAUUUGAAUGUUUUGAAAAAGUUGACAAGUUAGUUAAUGUUUGCCAAUAUUGUUUGGCAAAACAUUUUAUUAUGUACUUAGGGGUACUGUUAGAUUCUUUGGCUAAUGAGUUGUGUAUAUGGUAUCGUGACUAUAUAUUUUUGUAAAUAAUAUUUCUUAUGGAAUAUUAAUCCGAACCUCUAUUUAAUUCGAUUGA